rnacentral:rRNA from 1 species
UACGUAGGGGGCAAGCGUUGUCCGGAAUCACUGGGCGUAAAGCGCACGUAGGCGGAUUGUUAAGUCAGGGGUGAAAUCCUGGAGCUCAACUCCAGAACUGCCUUUGAUACUGGCGAUCUCGAGUCCGGGAGAGGUGAGUGGAACUGCGAGUGUAGAGGUGAAAUUCGUAGAUAUUCGCAAGAACACCAGUGGCGAAGGCGGCUCACUGGCCCGGUACUGACGCUGAGGAGCGGAAAGCGUGGGAGCGAACGA